UAUCGUAUGUUACCAUCCUUCAGUUGGGGACUCAUGCGAUACUGCCUGCGACGAGCAGGAGGAAGGUGGGGAUGACGUCAAGUCAUCAUGCCCCUUAUACGCUGGGCUACACACGUGCUACAAUGGGUAGUACAGAGAGCAGCAAACCCGCGAGGGGGAGCAAAUCUCAGAAAACUAUUCUUAGUUCGGAUUGUACUCUGCAACUCGAGUACAUGAAGUUGGAAUCGCUAGUAAUCGCAAAUCAGCAAUGUUGCGGUGAAUACGUUCUCGGGUCUUGUACACACCGCCCGUCACACCACGAGAGUUGGUUGCACCUGAAGUAGCAGGCCUAACCUUAGGGAAGGAUGCUCCGAGGGUGUGGUUAGCGAUUGGGGUGAAGUCGUAACAAGGUAUCCGUACGGGAACGUGCGGAUGGAUCACCUCCUUU
rnacentral:rRNA from 1 species